rnacentral:misc_RNA from 1 species
CCGAGGGCAAUUAAAGGGCACUAGGCACUGCCACGGGCCUGUUGGGAACAGGGAGGUGUUGCCACGGGCCUGCAUUGUACGUAAUCCUCCUUUGGCCAAGUUAUGAGAAAGGGAGGGUGCUCGACACUUGACCUGAGCUCUUUCAAGCGAAGAGGGCAAAGUCAUCGAGGGCAUCUGAGGAAGGGGCCUUGGCCAGUGCUGGAUGGCGUAUCCGUUAGCCUGGCACUCAAAGCCAAGGGUGGGUGUGAAAUGCCUGGUUCCAACUGUGACCGUUAGCAUGCAAGACUUGCUACACCGAGGAGGGAACAGGGGCUCAGAGGAGGGGCCUGGGGACAUGUAACGUGCGACAUCGGGGGAGGGACUUGGGGCUCGAGGCGUGCAUACGUGAUCGGAGG